GCCCUGCUAGCUCAGUGGUAGAGCGUCGCACUUGUAAAAACUUACCCAAUAUGCGAAGGUCAGUCGUUCAAUCCGGCUGUGGGGCA